rnacentral:rRNA from 1 species
AUUGAACGCUGGCGGCAGGCCUAACACAUGCAAGUCGAGCGGAUGAAGGGAGCUUUCUCCUGGAUUCAGCUGCGGACGGGUGAGUAAUGCCUAGGAAUCUGCCUGGUCGUGGGGGAUAACGUCCGUAAACGGGCGCUAAUACCGCAUACGUCCUUAGGGAGAAAGUGGGGGAUCUUCGGACCUCACGCUAUCAGAUGAGCCUAGGUCGGAUUAGCUAGUUGGUGGGGUAAAGGCCUACCAAGGCGACGAUCCGUAACUGGUCUGAGAGGAUGAUCAGUCACACUGGAACUGAGACACGGUCCAGACUCCUACGGGAGGCAGCAGUGGGGAAUAUUGGACAAUGGGCGAAAGCCUGAUCCAGCAAUGCCGCGUAUGUGAAGAAGGUCUUCGGAUUGUAAAGCACUUUAAGUUGGGAGGAAGGGCAGUAAGUUAAUACCUUGCUGUUUUGACGUUACCAACAGAAUAAGCACCGGCUAACUUCGUG